rnacentral:rRNA from 1 species
CUCGAAAGCAUGGGUAGCGAACAGGAUUAGAUACCCUGGUAGUCCAUGCCGUAAACGAUGAAUGCUAGGUGUUGGAGGGUUUCCGCCCUUCAGUGCCGCAGCUAACGCAUUAAGCAUUCCGCCUGGGGAGUACGACCGCAAGGUUGAAACUCAAAGGAAUUGACGGGGGCCCGCACAAGCGGUGGAGCAUGUGGUUUAAUUCGAAGCAACGCGAAGAACCUUACCAGGUCUUGACAUCUUUUGAUCACCUGAGAGAUCAGGUUUCCCCUUCGGGGGCAAAAUGACAGGUGGUGCAUGGUUGUCGUCAGCUCGUGUCGUGAGAUGUUGGGUUAAGUCCCGCAACGAGCGCAACCCUUAUGACUAGUUGCCAGCAUUUAGUUGGGCACUCUAGUAAGACUGCCGGUGACAAACCGGAGGAAGGUGGGGAUGACGUCAAAUCAUCAUGCCCCUUAUGACCUGGGCUACACACGUGCUACAAUGGAUGGUACAACGAGUUGCGAGACCGCGAGGUCAAGCUAAUCUCUUAAAGCCAUUCUCAGUUCGGACUGUAGGCUGCAACUCGCCUACACGAAGUCGGAAUCGCUAGUAAUCGCGGAUCAGCACGCCGCGGUGAAUACGUUCCCGGGCCUUGUACACACCGCCCGUCACACCAUGAGAGUUUGUAACACCCGAAGCCGGUGGCGUAACCCUUUUAGGGAGCGAGCCGUCUAAGGUGGGACAAAUGAUUAGGGUGAAGUCGUAACAAGGUAGCCGUAGGAGAACCUGCGGUUGGAUCACCUCC